UACGAAGGGGGCUAGCGUUGCUCGGAAUUACUGGGCGUAAAGGGCGCGUAGGCGGCGGGGUAAGUCGGGUGUGAAAUCUCAGGGCUCAACCCUGAAACUGCACUCGAUACUGCUCUGCUUGAGGACUGGAGAGGAGACUGGAAUUCACGGUGUAGCAGUGAAAUGCGUAGAUAUCGUGAGGAAGACCAGUGGCGAAGGCGGGUCUCUGGACAGUUCCUGACGCUGAGGCGCGAAAGCGUGGGGAGCAAACAGG
rnacentral:rRNA from 1 species